ACAAAUCAUGCGAAGGAUAUAACGAGCAAUUUUGUAAAAUAAAUUUGUCAUAAUAUUUUACGGUUGCAAAGGAGUUGCGCUAACAAGGAAAACAGUGUUUGGGGAGAUAACUCCUACAAAGAAAAGUAUUCGUUUACGCAGGGUAAAUUUCAAAAGCGCAUAAACUGUUCGAUAUCAUAUACCAAAUAUCUAAGCGACAUAUUGCGAAACAAAUGUUUAUCGCAAGAACAAAAUUAGGCGGAAGAAAAAAAAAAAAAAAAAUAAUCAGAAGAAAAACAAUAGGUCUUUCCACAGAAAAGUGGAAAGACCUAAUUAUAAUAAGGUCUCCCAGCAGCCUUCAAAAUUGCUCAAAACCCAUACCAUAUUAUAAUAUAAAAGUCUAUAAAAAGUACUGAUAUGAUAAAAUGUGAAACAAUUCAAAAGAGAAAAUCAACAGCCUAUUACAACAAUGAAAAAGGGGGGGGGGAUACACCUACAUGUACCAACAACAACCACUACACUACAGGUUCCUCGACAGGCACAUACUCAGAUUGUAAACAGAUCAAUUGUUUAAUGUGAUUGUCAUCAUGUCCUUGCUUAUUUGUUGACAGUUUAGAGAGGCUUGAAAUUAAUAGAUUUAAUAUUGUCUUAAUGCUGGUAAAUAAAACUUUUCAGAUUUUUAGGUCUGCGGAAGUGCAAUUGAUGUUCUUGCGUUUGAUGGAAAAAAUCACACCCUGUUCGUAGAAUACAACAUUUAGGUUAUAAUGGAAAAUUGGAAUGAGAAACUUUAUACAGCUGCUGGGACUGGAAAUGUAAACGAUGUGAAAAAAUGCCUUGAGAAUAAAGCAGACAUUGAUUAUCAAGAUGUAAGU